CCUAGCAGCCAGAUCUCUCUUUCCUCCCCCCACCUCCUCCAGCCUGUGGCGGGGUGGGGGGGGUGGUGGUGGUGAGGGAGAGAUCUUAAUUUCUCCUGCUUCUAAUCAGCACAGCUGGGAGAACCAGCAGGCAAGGGCAGGAGGAGGUGAAAGGCCAUGGGCCUAAUCUACAAGCCACCCAGCCACCAGAGCCCGGCUUCCCUCCUAACAAGCCAUGCAGCAAACAAAUUAUCUUUGUUGUUCCUGGGAAAUCUCCGACGGAGCUUGCACUCAAAUUAACCCAGAGCGAGCACACCCUUGCAGGCUGCGGGUCAAGGCAGACCUCCAGAAGAGCCAGCGUGGCGCGGCAGGGGGACGGCGUGACAGGGCGGGGAGCAGCGGAGUGUGCGCGGACGGUGUGCGGAAUGGGGAUUCUCGCCUGGAUAGCACAGAGACGGGCUUUUCAACAGUUCCUCAGUGAAGAGGAAAUUGGAAAUUAAUAUCAAAAUCCCACUGAGCAGCGUCCAUAGUUUCCACAUGUAAUCAUGCUUGGCUUAGCCAGGUAGUAAAAUGUUUAUGAUUUUCUUUCCAAGGUUGAGUUUAGUCAUUCUCAAUGAACCAUUUAGUUGGCUUCAUAAAGUCGUGAAUUAAAGAACCCGUCUAGGUGAUGUUACAGAUGGAUGGAUACCUGGGCUAGGUGGACCCUCCUGGCCGCUGAAGGCAAGGCGGGGGGCCCAGACCUUGAAAGUCCUGGGAAGACGCCAUCCUCCCAGGCGGCUGCUUUGACGAGAGGCUGGGGCACCACACUCUACACGACGCACCGCUCGACAAAGAAGGCACCGGACCCCUAUAAAUGUGAUGCUGCCAAGAACUCUUCUCCAGGUGAGUCUACUUUUGGGGGGUCCUCUUUUUCCUUCCCCUGCUCCCAGAGAAAUCGAGGAAUCUCAGAUUUUACCUGCCUAUAUUCUCUCACCUGCCACACCCCAGCGCUCACCCCAGUAUUAGGUGGUGCACAGAGAGGAGUGGGAUACAGACACCAAAACAGAGGCUCCUAAGAGGGAAUGCCUUCUUUGCCCUGGCUCCUCCCUCCCCACUGCUCACCUUCAUCCCUCAGCACUCCCCUAAGCACCUCCAAACUGACCCAGAGAAAGAGCCCUGGCUUUGGAAUACAAUCUCCACACUUGCUACUCGCCAGCUGGGUCUCCAGCCACAAGUCAUCGCACUUCUCUAAGACUGUUUCUUCAUCUGCAAAAUGGGGAUUAAAAUAGCAUUGUAAGCACAGAGAGAGGCCAUGCAUAUGAAAAGUGGCUAGAAAUGAUGAAAGGCAAUAGUCACGUGCCAGCUAUUAGUACUUCUGGUUUUUCAUUUAACUAACUAACACUAUCCAUUUCACAGAUGGAAAGACUUGACCCCCUGUUGCUCCCGGGCUUUUUGCUGGGAGCCCAGCACUAAUUACCCAGCCCUCACGCCCAGUCUUUAGCAAAAGAAGGCCUGACCUUUGCUAUCAUUUCCUCCACCUGCCCCACCUUGCCCGCUUUGCAAACUCUUAAGUAUCCUUUAGGUAACAGCUCAAAGGGCACCUCCUCUGGGAAGACUUCCCUGAUCCUCAGCACAGUUGGAGUCUCCUCUGCAAGGCUUCCCAGCUCUCUGAGCACAUCUUGUGGCAGCUCUUAUCAGGCGCUCUGUAAUUGUUUGUUUUUCCAACACUGUUUCACAAUUACUGUGUAAUUUACAAACACUGACAGUGCAGUGUGAUCUAGCUACUACAGCUACUGUUGAGGUUCCACCCAGGUUCUAGUUCCUGCAGGGUCAGCCCUUCCAAGGUAGAACCACCCCUCACCCCAGCUCUGACCUGUGAUCUCCCCCACCCCAGCGCCUGACCCAGAGCCUGUCUCGAGGAGGUGCUUGGUAAAUGGUUGUUGACUGAAGAAGCACAUGAAUGAGAGAAGGAGUAGAGACAGGACAGAAGGGAAGAGAUGCUUCUCGUUAACAUCUCUUCAUAAAAGCCGGCGAGUUCCUACAUCCAGCUGGUGUCUGAAUUG
ensembl:lncRNA